rnacentral:rRNA from 1 species
UACGUAGGGCGCGAGCGUUGUCCGGAAUUAUUGGGCGUAAAGAGCUCGUAGGCGGCCUGUCGCGUCAAUUGUGAAAGCCCGGGGCUUAACCCCGGGUCUGCAGUCGAUACGGGCAGGCUAGAGUGUGGUAGGGGAGAUCGGAAUUCCUGGUGUAGCGGUGAAAUGCGCAGAUAUCAGGAGGAACACCGGUGGCGAAGGCGGAUCUCUGGGCCAUUACUGACGCUGAGGCGCGAAAGCGUGGGGAGCAAACAGG